GAUGAACGCUGGCGGCGUGCCUAAUACAUGCAAGCCGAGCGAACGGACGAGAAGCUUGCUUCUCUGAUGUUAGCGGCGGACGGGUGAGUAACACGUGGAUAACCUACCUAUAAGACUGGGAUAACUUCGGGAAACCGGAGCUAAUACCGGAUAAUAUUUUGAACCGCAUGGUUCAAAAGUAAAAGACGGUCUUGCUGUCACUUAUAGAUGGAUCCGCGCUGCAUUAGCUAGUUGGUAAGGUAACGGCUUACCAAGGCAACGAUGCAUAGCCGACCUGGGAGGGUGAUCGGCCACACUGGAACUGAGACACGGUCCAGACUCCUACGGGAGGCAGCAGUAGGGAAUCUUCCGCAAUGGGCGAAAGCCUGACGGAGCAACGCCGCGUGAGUGAUGAAGGUCUUCGGAUCGUAAAACUCUGUUAUUAGGGAAGAACAUAUGUGUAAGUAACUGUGCACAUCUUGACGGUACCUAAUCAGAAAGCCACGGCUAACUACGUG
rnacentral:rRNA from 1 species